rnacentral:tRNA from 2 species
GCGGGGGUUGCCGAGCAUGGCCAAAGGCGCAGGACUUAAGAUCCUGUCUCUCAGGAGUUGCGUGGGUUCAAAUCCCACCCCCCGCA